GAGGUUAAGCGACUAAGCGUACACGGUGGAUGCCCUGGCAGUCAGAGGCGAUGAAGGACGUGCUAAUCUGCGAUAAGCGUCGGUAAGGUGAUAUGAACCGUUAUAACCGGCGAUUUCCGAAUGGGGAAACCCAGUGUGUUUCGACACACUAUCAUUAACUGAAUCCAUAGGUUAAUGAGGCGAACCGGGGGAACUGAAACAUCUAAGUACCCCGAGGAAAAGAAAUCAACCGAGAUUCCCCCAGUAGCGGCGAGCGAACGGGGAGGAGCCCAGAGCCUGAAUCAGUGUGUGUGUUAGUGGAAGCGUCUGGAAAGGCGCGCGAUACAGGGUGACAGCCCCGUACACAAAAAUGCACAUACUGUGAGCUCGAUGAGUAGGGCGGGACACGUGGUAUCCUGUCUGAAUAUGGGGGGACCAUCCUCCAAGGCUAAAUACUCCUGACUGACCGAUAGUGAACCAGUACCGUGAGGGAAAGGCGAAAAGAACCCCGGCGAGGGGAGUGAAAAAGAACCUGAAACCGUGUACGUACAAGCAGUGGGAGCCUCUUUUAUGGGGUGACUGCGUACCUUUUGUAUAAUGGGUCAGCGACUUAUAUUCUGUAGCAAGGUUAACCGAAUAGGGGAGCCGAAGGGAAACCGAGUCUUAACUGGGCGUUAAGUUGCAGGGUAUAGACCCGAAACCCGGUGAUCUAGCCAUGGGCAGGUUGAAGGUUGGGUAACACUAACUGGAGGACCGAACCGACUAAUGUUGAAAAAUUAGCGGAUGACUUGUGGCUGGGGGUGAAAGGCCAAUCAAACCGGGAGAUAGCUGGUUCUCCCCGAAAGCUAUUUAGGUAGCGCCUCGUGAAUUCAUCUCCGGGGGUAGAGCACUGUUUCGGCAAGGGGGUCAUCCCGACUUACCAACCCGAUGCAAACUGCGAAUACCGGAGAAUGUUAUCACGGGAGACACACGGCGGGUGCUAACGUCCGUCGUGAAGAGGGAAACAACCCAGACCGCCAGCUAAGGUCCCAAAGUCAUGGUUAAGUGGGAAACGAUGUGGGAAGGCCCAGACAGCCAGGAUGUUGGCUUAGAAGCAGCCAUCAUUUAAAGAAAGCGUAAUAGCUCACUGGUCGAGUCGGCCUGCGCGGAAGAUGUAACGGGGCUAAACCAUGCACCGAAGCUGCGGCAGCGACGCUUAUGCGUUGUUGGGUAGGGGAGCGUUCUGUAAGCCUGCGAAGGUGUGCUGUGAGGCAUGCUGGAGGUAUCAGAAGUGCGAAUGCUGACAUAAGUAACGAUAAAGCGGGUGAAAAGCCCGCUCGCCGGAAGACCAAGGGUUCCUGUCCAACGUUAAUCGGGGCAGGGUGAGUCGACCCCUAAGGCGAGGCCGAAAGGCGUAGUCGAUGGGAAACAGGUUAAUAUUCCUGUACUUGGUGUUACUGCGAAGGGGGGACGGAGAAGGCUAUGUUGGCCGGGCGACGGUUGUCCCGGUUUAAGCGUGUAGGCUGGUUUUCCAGGCAAAUCCGGAAAAUCAAGGCUGAGGCGUGAUGACGAGGCACUACGGUGCUGAAGCAACAAAUGCCCUGCUUCCAGGAAAAGCCUCUAAGCAUCAGGUAACAUCAAAUCGUACCCCAAACCGACACAGGUGGUCAGGUAGAGAAUACCAAGGCGCUUGAGAGAACUCGGGUGAAGGAACUAGGCAAAAUGGUGCCGUAACUUCGGGAGAAGGCACGCUGAUAUGUAGGUGAAGCGACUUGCUCGUGGAGCUGAAAUCAGUCGAAGAUACCAGCUGGCUGCAACUGUUUAUUAAAAACACAGCACUGUGCAAACACGAAAGUGGACGUAUACGGUGUGACGCCUGCCCGGUGCCGGAAGGUUAAUUGAUGGGGUUAGCGGUAACGCGAAGCUCUUGAUCGAAGCCCCGGUAAACGGCGGCCGUAACUAUAACGGUCCUAAGGUAGCGAAAUUCCUUGUCGGGUAAGUUCCGACCUGCACGAAUGGCGUAAUGAUGGCCAGGCUGUCUCCACCCGAGACUCAGUGAAAUUGAACUCGCUGUGAAGAUGCAGUGUACCCGCGGCAAGACGGAAAGACCCCGUGAACCUUUACUAUAGCUUGACACUGAACAUUGAGCCUUGAUGUGUAGGAUAGGUGGGAGGCUUUGAAGUGUGGACGCCAGUCUGCAUGGAGCCGACCUUGAAAUACCACCCUUUAAUGUUUGAUGUUCUAACGUUGGCCCCUGAUCGGGGUUGCGGACAGUGUCUGGUGGGUAGUUUGACUGGGGCGGUCUCCUCCUAAAGAGUAACGGAGGAGCACGAAGGUUGGCUAAUCCUGGUCGGACAUCAGGAGGUUAGUGCAAUGGCAUAAGCCAGCUUGACUGCGAGCGUGACGGCGCGAGCAGGUGCGAAAGCAGGUCAUAGUGAUCCGGUGGUUCUGAAUGGAAGGGCCAUCGCUCAACGGAUAAAAGGUACUCCGGGGAUAACAGGCUGAUACCGCCCAAGAGUUCAUAUCGACGGCGGUGUUUGGCACCUCGAUGUCGGCUCAUCACAUCCUGGGGCUGAAGUAGGUCCCAAGGGUAUGGCUGUUCGCCAUUUAAAGUGGUACGCGAGCUGGGUUUAGAACGUCGUGAGACAGUUCGGUCCCUAUCUGCCGUGGGCGCUGGAGAACUGAGGGGGGCUGCUCCUAGUACGAGAGGACCGGAGUGGACGCAUCACUGGUGUUCGGGUUGUCAUGCCAAUGGCACUGCCCGGUAGCUAAAUGCGGAAGAGAUAAGUGCUGAAAGCAUCUAAGCACGAAACUUGCCCCGA
rnacentral:rRNA from 1 species